AAGAGGGGUAGAAAUAUUAAACAUGUAAGAAAGAAAAUGCAAGAAGCAAUUGACAUAGUUGAAAACUGGUCCUAUGACUGGGGAUUUAAGUUUUUGGUAGAAAAAACGAAAAGUAUGGUAUUCACUAGGAAAAAGUGCGUAAUGGAUAAUUUAAGGCUAUAUGGUGAGGAGUUAGAACAGGUAAAUAGUUUUCGAUAUCUUAGAAUUAUUUUUGAUUCAAGACUAACAUGGAAAGCACAUAUUGAUAAUAUUCAGGAGAAAUGCAAAAGAAUUAUUAAUAUAAUGAGAUGCUUGAGAAGGUGUGAGUGGGGAGCUAGUACCCAGGCAUUGAAACAAAUAUAUAAUGCAAUGAUAAGAUCAGUUUUGGAAUAUGGGUUCACUGUCUACGGUUCAGCAUCUAAGACAUUGUUUAAAAAGAUAGAAAUAAUACAAAACCAGGCUUUGAGGGUAUGCUGUGGGGCAAUCAGAUCCACUCCAACAGUAGCAGUACAAGUAGAAAUGGGAAAACUGCCAUUACAACUCAGGUUUAAACAGUUGUCAUUAAAUUAUUGGGCAAGUAUUCAAGGGUGCAAGGAUGAGGCUCAUCCUGUGAAAAGAGCACUUACUUCAUGCUGGGAGAGUGAGCAUGUCCGGAACAGAAAUGGUGUCUGGAGACUGCAGAGAUGGGCUAGAGAGAUGUCAAUUUUUGACAAGACUCGUGUCGGAAAGUUUUUAUAUACGGUACAUCCAAUUUGGGUGCUUCCAGAAGUACUGGUUGACUUUAGUUUACAUGAGACAAUGGAAGGUAGUAAAGGGAUGGGUAACUGGGACAAAAUCACUGAAGAUAGACUACAAACUGCACAUAAUUCAUUUUUGCUAAUUUACACAGAUGGUUCAAAAGAAACAGGAGAAGGAAAAACAGGUUUUUCAUUCGUGAUACCGCAACUGGGACUUUAUUUCAGGGAAAGAUCACCAGAUCAUCUCUCAGUUUAUACAGUGGAAAUGUUAGCAAUGUCGUUUAGUCUACAGUGGUUAGAACGUAAUAGAAUUAAGAAGGGAAUAAUAUGCUCAGAUUCUCUAUCAGCACUAUCAUCAGUGGAGUCGCUGAUGACCAAUAGUAGAUUUGAUAUUUUAUAUGAAAUAUAAGAAACUUUGUUCAGAUUGGAACAGUUAAAGAUGGAGGUACAGUUUCUUUGGGUUCCAGCACACAAAGGUGUUGAGGGAAAUGAGAUGGCCGAUUAUCAUGCUAAACAGUCCUUAAAGCAGAGAUCGUUCAUAGACAUACCCUUCAGUACACCUGAAGUUAAAAAACAUUAUAAAGGCGCAGAUAAAGGAAGAAUGGCAGUGCCAGUGGGAGAUGGGUACGAAGGGACGACAUCUUUUUCAGAUUCAGGGAAGUAUUAGGAAAAUGAACAAUAUCAGACUGAAUAGUAGAGAUCAAAAAAUAAUGUCUAGGCUGAGGUUUUUUUAGUAGUUUUUUUUUUCGCUCCUUUGUUUUCUUUCAAUACUCCGACCCACACUCCAGCACAGUAGGUGGCGGAAAUGCACCUUUAAGUUAGAUGCCACCCGCCAUAAAACCAGAAGAAGAAGAAGAAGAAGAAGAAGAAGAAGAAGAAGAAGAAGAAGAAGAAGAAGAAGAUACCCGGAAGUGACGUCAGAUAGCUAACCGGCUAGGCGCUGUUUUCAGGUGAGACUGCGUUCUCUUGCUGUUUUUAGCUCGAACCUGCAGCGUCACGUCUGGCUGUCGUGUCGUGCUGGGGCGCGCGCACCGAACCCGACCCAGCAGCAGAACCGAGCGGGGCUUGAGUGACGUUACUGGGUUCUGCAGCCGACUUCAGUGCGGCUUCGCGUGGAUCGAACAGUCAG